ACUCCUACGGGAGGCAGCAGUAGGGAAUAUUCCACAAUGAACGAAAGUUUGAUGGAGCGACACAGCGUGCAGGAUGAAGGUCCUAUGGAUUGUAAACUGCUGUGGUAAGGGAAGAAAAAGUAGCUUAGGAAAUGAAGUUACAUUGACGGUACCUUAUUAGAAAGCAACGGCUAACUAUGUGCCAGCAGCCGCGGUAAUACAUAGGUUGCAAGCGUUAUCCGGAAUUAUUGGGCGUAAAGCAUCUGUAGGUUGUUUGUUAAGUCUGGCGUCAAAUUUUGGGGCUCAACCCCAAAUCGCGUUGGAUACUGGCAGACUAGAGUUAUGUAGAGGUUAGCAGAAUUCCUUGUGAAGCGGUGAAAUGCGUAGAUAUAAGGAAGAAUAUCAAUAUGGCGAAGGCAGCUAACUGGACAUACACUGACACUGAGAGAUGAAAGCGUGGGGAGCAAACAGGAUUAGAUACCCUGGUAGUCCACGCCCUAAACGAUGAUCAUUAGCUGAUGGAGAAUUCAUCGGCGCAGCUAACGCAUUAAAUGAUCCGCCUGAGUAGUACGUUCGCAAGAAUAAAACUUAAAGGAAUUGACGGGGAUCCGCACAAGCGGUGGAGCAUGUGGUUUAAUUUGAAGAUACGCGUAGAACCUUACCCACUCUUGACAUCUUCUGCAAUGCUAUGGAGACAUAGCGGAGGUUAACAGAGUGACAGAUGGUGCA
rnacentral:rRNA from 1 species